rnacentral:rRNA from 1 species
GACGAACGCUGGCGGCGUGCUUAACACAUGCAAGUCGAGCGGAAAGGCCAUGCUUUUGUGGGGUUCUCGAGUGGCGAACGGGUGCGUAACACGUGAGUAACCUGCCCUUGACUCUGGGACAUCUUCAGGAAAUUGGGGCUAUAACCGGAUAGGAGCACCUGAUCCCUGGUGGGCGUUGGAAAGUUUCGACGGUUGUGGAUUGGAUGGCGGCUUAUCCGUUUGUUGGGGUGGUAGUGGCUUAACAGGGCUUCGAAGGGUAGCAGGCCUGAGGGGGCUACCGGCCACAGUGCGACUGAGCUACGGCCCAGAGUCCUACGGGAGGCAGCAGUAGGGAAUAUUGCACAAUGGGCGGAAGCCGGAUGCAGCAAGGCCGCGUGCGGGAUGAUGGCCUUCGGGUUGUAAACCGCUUUCGCCUGUGACGAAGCGUGAGUGUCGGUAAUGGGUAAAGAAGCACCGGCUAACUACGUG